CAUAUCAUUGCGACUUAAAAGUAAAUUUUUAAAUAGAUAGUGCACCUUAAGUGUCCUAACCGUUCCGGGUCCGCUAUACAAGGCGCUGCUGGCUCUGUGUACCUGUGUUUUACAUAAAUCCUCAAACCCCCAUAUUGGGGUUUCAGUACGGGGUUUAAGAAGAUUUCAGUACGGGGUUUAAGAAGAUUUCAGUACGGGGUUUAAGAAGAUUUCAGUACGGGGUUUAAGAAGAUUUCAGUACGGGAUUUAGAAGACCUAGGCUUCUCGCUUGGCUACCUACUGCUGCCUACCCUCUGCUUCGCUUCCGCUUCGGACCUACAGCUGAGCACGGCGACCUACAACCCUGCCCGUGGCUGACGACCUGUUCCACCGGCAUCUGACCAUCCAGGGGAGUGCUUGAACUACGCAGUGAAAUCAGAUACUAGGCCGACACACCACGACCCGUUCUACCGACUUAGGUGGCCUGCGGCCAUCAAUAAACUAUUUUCGUUGGACCUA